UCCUCCAGGCCUUCUUAUCCUCUACCAUCCCCUGGAGUCCAUUUAAGCUCACCCCAACUGCUUCAGGGACUGCAUCCAGCCGCCUCCUUCUCUGCCGUCACAUUCUUCUUCUAA